AUUGAACGCUGGCAGCAGGCCUAACACAUGCAAGUCGAACGAGUGGCGGACGGGUGAGUAAUGUCUGGGAAACUGCCUGAGGGAGGGGGGUAACUACUGGAAACGGUAGCUAAUACCGCAUACCAUCAGAUGUGCCCAGAUGGGAUUAGCUAGUUGGUGGGGUAACGGCUCACCAAGGCGACGAUACCUAGCUGGUCUGCGAGGAUGACCAGCCACACUGGAACUGUGCCACGGUCCAGACUCCUACGGGAGGCAGCAGUGGGUAAGAUUGAACAAUGGGCGCAAGCCUAAUGCAGCCAUGCCGCGUGUAUGAAGAAGUCCGUCGGGUUGUAAAGUACUUUCAGCGGGGAGGCGUUACCCGCAGAAGAAGCACCGGCUAACUCCGUGCCAGCAGCCGCGGUAAUUC
rnacentral:rRNA from 1 species